ensembl:scaRNA Gm26039 predicted gene, 26039
AACAGGACCCAAAAGGCUGAGUCUGAUGAAGCAAGAUUUUAACGAUGCACUCCUAGGAACAAAGGGUUGGAGAGACAAGCCCUUAUUUUGGGGGGGGGGGGGGGGGAGAACGGGACCCAGAGGGCUGAUUGUAUUUCCAACAUUA